GUGAAACUUUCUUUUUAUCCUGCUCCAGAGCCAACUCCAAAGCUCCUGCCACUUCCAGAGCCAGAGCCAGAGCCAGAGCCAGCCCCUGAGCUAGAGCCAGCUCUAGCUCUGGCCCCACCACCUGUGGCAGAGUUUGAGCCUGUAUCACCUGCAUCGGACUCUACAGGGCUGGAGAAAGGGCCACCAGUAACUUCAGCCCCAGUGUCAGCUCCUGAACUAGAGCCCAUUGGACCCUGGGCUGUGACCAACGAAAACCAGCUGAGGGAGGAGAAGCCGAACCUCUUGCACUUCUCUCCCAGGCUGGUGGCAGAGCAGCUGACAAGGAUGGAGGCAGUGAGCAGCGGGGCUUGCAGGGCAGGGGUCUCUGCCUUCGUGUGCCAUGAGCUGCCCCACACCUGCCAUUCCGUGACCCAAAAUCUGAUGAUCUGGGUCCACAUUCCUGCUCCCCCAUUACCAACACUGUGACUUGGGCACUUUCUUAACCCCAAGCGCUCGCUGUCCCCACGUGCACAGCAGAGCCGGACACUAAGGGCACCUGCUGCAUGGGGUGGCUGUGCCGAUGAAUGAGGUGGAACAGAGAGGAAGUUGGGCAGCGUCUGGCCCUUUGGUGCAGGAGGGAGUUCACUGAAGUGCUGCCAGGUCCUUGGGCUGAUCACGCCUGUGCCCAGGGGGCCUUCAAAGCCUCAGCACGUAUCAGGCACAUGAUGUGUACUGACUCCAGUGGAGAUAAUCACACAAAGCCGGUGCUUCUCCCUGCCUCAGGGGAAUGUGCAUGGGAAUGGGAAUUGGGACCCGAGGGGGACUGGGAUGUGUGGAAGAUGUCCCUUGGGGUGGGCCGGUGGGGGCUGUGUUUCAGAGCUUGGAGGAGGUCAGACGGGGCUGGGAGCAAAUGCCUUCCCUUCUGCACUGCACUGUGUCCCGUGUCAUCUUGUGUUGGCACCUUCAGUGGACACAGACAAAACCCAGGGAGUCCCAGAAACCUCAGAGAUCACAUCCUCUGCUUCAUGAGCUCCCGCUCUGUCUGCAACCCGCCUGGGACCCGUGGGGGACCGUGGAUGCUGAGCUGGGGUGAGGCAGUGCUGGCAACACUCUGAAUCUACCUCAGGAACUGUUUAAGAAAUUGGUGCCUGCCCACUGCCUGGGCUCCAUCUGGUCCCAGCGAGACAACAGGGACCGCGAGUACCUGGCACCCACCAUCUAUGACACUGUGGCACACACGAACACCUUGGCCAACAGUGUCAUUGCUAUGUGCCUUGGGGCCCCGGGCAUGACAGCCCAGGAAAGGGCCAGGGUGGUGGAGCUGUGGAUUCAGGUGGCCGAGGUAAGUCAUGGGAGGCCAAUGGAAGCCCUGUCUGGAGUCGUGGGAAUUGCCUCUUGUUUCUCAGCUCUUGAGAUUGAAGUCUGUGGUCUGAGUCCUUGCACUGUCCCUAGACCCUCCUGCCAGGGUCACACUGACCUUGACUUGAGGUCCUGGUGGUGGCAAGCUCACUUCCUUCCUGUGCUCCUUCCUUGUGUUCAGCUAAAAAUCCUUGUGCCUGGCAGUGUUACUCGUCGGAUCCCAGGUGUGCCCUCCCUGGGUUUCCUGGGCAUCUGUCUCAUCCAGGACAGGAGAAGUCCAUGAGGGGACAGAAUCCAGAGCUGGAGAGCUCCAGCCGCCCCUCACAGCUCAAUCUCUUCCCUUCCCCAGGGGUGCCGAGGCCUCAGAAACUUCUCUUCCUUCCAUACUAUCCUUUCUGUUCUGCAAAGCCCUGCCAUUAACCGUCUCAAAGAGACAUGGGGACAAGUUUCCAGGUGGGUAGGCUGCUCUCCAUCCAAGCACCACGAGGGUGAGGUGGACCUGGCAGCUGGCCUUGGGUCUCCAUGGCCCCGGAGUCAGCUGAGACCACCUGGGAGACAGAGAAUGCCUGGGACACGGACUGAUCCGGUUCCUGGGUCUCUGAGUCUCUCAGGGCCCUUAGGCUACCAGUUCUGCCCAGGAAUUCAUUUCCUUCAAUAUCAGAUCCUGACUUGAGCCCAGUUGGAGAUUCUCAAGUGUUUCCUUUGCAGCAACAGAAAUCUCCAGACAACUGAAACCGAGAGUGUUCAAAACAGAUCUGUGUGGUAGAUAUGGGAAUGGAGGCCCCAGGUCACAACAGGAGAGGCCCUUCCCCAGUCCAAUGGGGACUUCGGGGCUCAGAGCAUCCCAGUGAAAUCCCACAUCCAGGCCCUAGGCUGUUUGGAUCUUCUGGGAUCUCAAAAAAACGGGAUUUGCCCUUCAACCACCCCAUAGUCUUUCUUUCUUUCUUUCCCCACUCUCCCAGGGAGAGAUCCUACACCUUUAAGAAGUGGUGCAGGGGAGAGCAGCACGUGAGCAGGAGACUGCUCCUGAAGGUGACCUAGGGCUGGAGAUCUGGGAGGAGGGGUGCCGGAGGGGGCCGGGAACAUCCUGAGUGCAUCCUAGGAAGUGAGGCUAUGGUAAGGCCAUCCUGGGGUUCAGAGACCCCUGUCAGGGGGGCAGGAAGGAGAUGCCACACGGCCCCCCCAACACCCUCUGCCCUCUCCCUCCAUGUCUCAGUUUGGCUGUUGUUGGGACACACUCUGGGAGUGCAGAGGUCGGGACCAUGGUCAGUGGUGGGGCAGGGUGAGGGGUGAAGGCAGCGGGGACAGGGACUCUGGCUGGGAGGGAGAGUGGCCUCUCCUCAGUGGGUCCUUGAGCAAGUCUGGGCCCCUCUGUUGGCCUCGGUCUCCUCCUCUGGGAAAUGGAGGGAGAUGACAUGAUGCAGGCCUCACAGCGGGGUGAUACCGUCCAAGGGAGGACAGGAAUGGGAGAUUUGUGCUGGCUCCUCCUCGAGAGGUGAGGGGAGAGUAGUGAUGACAGUCAGAUGACACAGAGUCCUCAGGAGAACGCUGGAUGCAGGUGGAGUUCUCCCCACUCUUUCCUGAGGAAGAAAGAGGCUCUGGGAGGCCUGGGCAGGCCCAAGAUCACACAGGAGUGAGUCCUGGAGCCGGGACUGGUCUAGAAUCAGAGCACCCUGGAGGCAGGAACAGCAUAGGCUGCAGGGGACUGGAGCCAGAUGGCCAAGGUAUGAGGUCAGUGGCCUUGGGGGACAUGUGGAGGGGAGCAUGGCUUCUCUGACCCUGUCCUGGUCCACAACAGGAGGCUACCACAGUGUUGGCCACUGCACAGAGGGCCCACCAUGGAAACCGGGAGAGGCGGUGGCAGCAGGGUGUCAUCCCCUCCCUUGAGAUGAUCUUCAGUUACCUGGAGCUGCUGCAUGAUGAGACGGAUUAUUAUGUGGAGGGGAAUGUGCUCAGCUGUCGGAAGUGGUAAGGAGCUGCAGCCUCACUGUGGAAUUCAAAUUCAUCAAGGACAUCAAGCUGGUUCAGAAGGUUGCAAAUCUGUACACCGUGCAACCCGACGAGAACUUUGGGGCCUGAUUCCAGGCCGUGGAGCCCGUGAGUGAGGAGGCAAGCUACAGCCUGUCCUCUCAGCUGGAGCCCCGAUACCAGUGGACCAGAAAGAUUCGACUCUUCUUCAAAGAGAAGAAGAGCCACUCAUCUUCCCGCCCAGGGCUGAACACCAGGCCCCUAAAAAAGAGCCCAGCGGUGGUGGCAGAUGACGCUCCUGAGACCAGCUGAACCACAGCAGGGACACAACGGGGACACUCAGGUGCACGGGGCCACCUCUCAGAUGCUGAUAUGAAUGAAAACUUUGUGAUCCAUUUCCUGAAGGCCACAAGGGAGUGGACGACGCCCCCAUCUCCCUCACACAUUUUCCCCAGCGCCUAUUUCCCUCUUUGGAGUGGCCAUAUUUUUGUUGUCAAUGAUAAAUGCUAA